rnacentral:rRNA from 1 species
AUUGAACGCUGGCGGCAUGCCUUACACAUGCAAGUCGAACGGCAGCAUGAUCUAGCUUGCUAGAUUGAUGGCGAGUGGCGAACGGGUGAGUAAUACAUCGGAACGUGCCCUGUAGUGGGGGAUAACUAGUCGAAAGAUUAGCUAAUACCGCAUACGACCUGAGGGUGAAAGUGGGGGACCGCAAGGCCUCAUGCUAUAGGAGCGGCCGAUAUCUGAUUAGCUAGUUGGUGAGGUAAAGGCUCACCAAGGCGACGAUCAGUAGCUGGUCUGAGAGGACGAUCAGCCACACUGGGACUGAGACACGGCCCAGACUCCUACGGGAGGCAGCAGUGGGGAAUUUUGGACAAUGGGCGAAAGCCUGAUCCAGCAAUGCCGCGUGUGUGAAGAAGGCCUUCGGGUUGUAAAGCACUUUUGUCCGGAAAGAAAUGGCUCUGGUUAAUACCUGGGGUCGAUGACGGUACCGGAAGAAUAAGGACCGGCUAACUACGUA